rnacentral:rRNA from 1 species
CCUACGGGUGACAGCAGUGAGGAAUAUUGGUCAAUGGUCGGGAGACUGAACCAGCCAAGCCGCGUGAGGGAUGAAGGUACAGAGUAUCGUAAACCUCUUCUGCCAGGGAACAAAGGCGGGGACGUGUCCCCGGAUGAGUGUACCUGAAGAAAAAGCAUCGGCAAACUCCGUGCCAGCAGCCGCGGUAAUACGGGGGAUGCGAGCGUUAUCCGGAUUUAUUGGGUUUAAGGGGUGGGCGGGCGGUUUGUUAAGUCAGCGGUAAAAGCCCGGGGCUCAACCCCGGCCCGCCGUUGAAACUGGCAGUCUCGAGUUGGAGAGAGGUAUGCGGAAUGCGCGGUGUAGCGGUGAAAUGCAUAGAUAUCGCGCAGAACUCCGAUUGCGAAGGCAGCAUGCCGGCUCCACACUGACGCUGAGGCACGAAAGCGUGGGUAUCGAACAGGAUUAGAUACCCUGGUAGUC